rnacentral:rRNA from 1 species
AUUGAACGCUGGCGGCAGGCCUAACACAUGCAAGUCGAACGAGUGGCGGACGGGUGAGUAAUGUCUGGGAAACUGCCUGAUGGAGGGGGAUAACUACUGGAAACGGUAGCUAAUACCGCAUACCAUCGGAUGUGCCCAGAUGGGAGUAGCUAGUCGGUGGGGUAAUGGCUCACCUAGGCGACGAUCCCUAGCUGGUCUGAGAGGAUGACCAGCCAGACUGGAACUAGGACGCGGUCCAGACGCCAACGGGUGGCAGUGGUGGGGGAUAUUGCACAAUGGGCGCAAGCCUGAUGCAGCGAUGCCGGGUGUAUGGAGAAGGCCUUCGGGGUGUAAAGUACUUUCAGCGGGGAGGCGUUACCCGCAGAAGAAGCACCGGCUAACUCCGUGCCAGCAGCCGCGGUAAUAC